rnacentral:rRNA from 1 species
UACAGAGGUCCCAAGCGUUGUUCGGAUUCACUGGGCGUAAAGGGUGCGUAGGCGGUCGGGUAAGUCUGAUGUGAAAUCUCACAGCUUAACUGUGAAACUGCAUUGGAUACUAUCCGGCUCGAGGAAUGGAGGGGAGACUGGAAUACUUGGUGUAGCAGUGAAAUGCGUAGAUAUCAAGUGGAACACCAGUGGCGAAGGCGGCUGCCUGGACCCGGCCUGACGCUGAGGCGCGAAAGCGUGGGGAGCGAUCCGG